GUGUGUGAGAGAGAGAGAGAGAGAGAAGCCAUGGGAGGAGGAGAAGAGGAAGCGUUGAAGCUCGAGUAUACGCCCACAUGGAUCGUUGCUGCAGUGUGCUCCAUCAUCGUCUUCAUAUCCCUUGUCGUUGAGCGCCUUCUUCACCGUCUCGGCAAGCUUUUGAAGAAAAGGAAGCAGAAACCGCUCUUUGAGGCACUCCUCAAGGUCAAGGAAGAGUUGAUGUUGCUGGGGUUUAUUUCGCUUCUGCUUACGGUUUUCCAGGGGCUUAUGCAGAGGAUUUGCAUUCCUGAAGGCUGGACCUUGCAUAUGCUCCCUUGUAAGAAGGAAGGGGAUCUCUCUUCGGAUGCCCAUGGUGGCGCCCGGCGGUUACUGUCGUCGGGUGGUGAGGGCUCGAGUCAUUGCACGAGCAAGGGAAAAGUACCAUUGUUAUCUAUUGAAGCAUUGCAUCAGCUACAUAUCUUCAUCUUUGUUCUUGCAAUUACUCAUGUGCUUUUCAGUCUCUUCACUAUGCUUUUAGGGGGAGCAAAGAUUCGUCAGUGGAAACACUGGGAGGAUUCAAUCCAGAAAGAUGUUACACAAAGUGCUCCGACAAAAGUUACCCAUGUGAACCAAUUUGAAUUUAUAAGGGACCGUUUCAAGGGCCUUGGGAAAGAUUCAGUGUUAAUAAGUUGGGUGCAUGCUUUUUUGAAGCAAUUCUAUGGAUCUGUGACCAAAUCAGACUAUACCACAAUGAGGCUAGGCUUUAUUAUGACACAUUGCAGAGGGAACCCACAAUUUGAUUUUUACAAGUAUAUGAUGCGUGCCCUUGAAGCUGAUUUCAAAAGAGUUGUUGGUAUUAGUUGGUACCUGUGGGUUUUCGUUGUCAUCUUCUUGUUGCUCAAUAUCGAUGGCUGGCAUACAUACUUCUGGAUAGCGUUCAUCCCUUUAAUUCUUCUACUUGCCGUGGGCACGAAGUUGGAACAUGUUAUUACUCAAUUGGCUCAUGAAGUUGCUGAAAAACAUUCGGCCAUUGAGGGUGAAUUAGUUGUCAAUCCUUCUGAUGAACACUUUUGGUUUCAUCGACCACGAAUUGUCCUCUACUUGCUUCAUUUUAUCCUCUUCCAGAAUGCCUUCGAAAUUGCGUUCUUCUUCUGGAUAUUGACCACAUAUGGCUUCGAUUCCUGCAUCAUGGGACAAGUUGGAUUUAUCGUCCCCAGGCUUGUAAUCGGGGUAAUAAUCCAGCUCCUCUGCAGCUACAGCUCUCUACCACUAUAUGCAAUUGUCACCCAGAUGGGAAGCUCAUUCAAGAAAGCGAUAUUUGACGAGCAUGUGCAAGAGGGACUCGUAGGCUGGGCACAGAAGAUCAAGAAAAGGAAAGCAAAGGGUGGAUCGAGCAAACCGGAGUCGACAGAAGGGUCCGCCGCGGGGAUUCAGUUGACCAUUCGCAACCUGCAAGAACAACCUCUGAUGGAGGAGACAAAAAUUAACAAUGCAGUGUGAUUAAUGAGUGAAUUAUAGGAGCAAAAAAUGUAGGUGGUAGUGUUAGUUCUCUAAUGCUAUUAUGAUAUAUAUAUAUAUAUAUAAUACACCGAGCCAAAUCUUUU